rnacentral:rRNA from 1 species
AUUGAACGCUGGCGGCAUGCCUUACACAUGCAAGUCGAACGGUAACGGGCCUUCGGGUGCCGACGAGUGGCGAACGGGUGAGUAAUGCAUCGGAACGUACCUUUCAGUGGGGGAUAACGUAGCGAAAGUUACGCUAAUACCGCAUAUUCUGUGAGCAGGAAAGCAGGGGAUCGCAAGACCUUGCGCUGAUUGAGCGGCCGAUGUCAGAUUAGCUAGUUGGUGAGGUAGAGGCUCACCAAGGCGACGAUCUGUAGCGGGUCUGAGAGGAUGAUCCGCCACACUGGAACUGAGACACGGUCCAGACUCCUACGGGAGGCAGCAGUGGGGAAUUUUGGACAAUGGGGGCAACCCUGAUUCAGCCAUGCCGCGUGAGUGAAGAAGGCCUUCGGGUUGUAAAGCUCUUUCGGUCGGGAAGAAAUCGCAUGGGUUAAUACCCUGUGCGGAUGACGGUACCGGCAUAAGAAGCACCGGCUAACUACGUGCCAGCAGCCGCAGUAAAAC